rnacentral:rRNA from 1 species
GACGAACGCUGGCGGCGUGCUUAACACAUGCAAGUCGAACGGAAAGGCCCUGCGUUUGUGGGGUGCUCGAGUGGCGAACGGGUGAGUAACACGUGAGUAACCUGCACUUGACUUUGGGAUAACUUCAGGAAACAGGGGCUAAUACCGGAUAGGAGCUCCUGCUGCAUGGUGGGGGAUGGAAAGUUUCGGCGGUUGGGGAUGGACUCGCGGCUUAUCAGCUUGAUGGUGGGGUAGUGGAUUACCAAGGCUAUGACGGGUAGCCGGCCUGAGAGGGUGAACGGCCUCAUUGGGACUGAGAUACGGCCCAGACUCGUACGGGAGGCAGCAGGGGGGAAUAUUGCACAAUGGGCGGAAGCCUGAUGCAGCAACGCCGCGUGCGGGAUGACGGCCUUCUGGUUGUAAACCGCUUUCGCCUUUGACGAAGCGUGAGUGACGGUAAUGGGUAAGGAAGCACCGGCUAACUACGUG